GUCCUGGAGACUUGCUGAUGGCCGGAUGCGGAUACCAGAACAUCAUCACCACAGAUCUGGUGGAUGAUCCAAUGCUGACGGACCACAACAUAAAAACCUUCAAGAAGGCCUACAAGGAGUUGUACGAUUUUGCCCCGAAUGUGAUCACGCACUCGCAAAAGAAGACAGAGAAACUGAAAGCAGUCAUGAGUGGCCACUAGGAGCCUGCUGCCAAGGAAAAACGCAUAUCCGAAGAGCAGACGAAGAACUGCUAUCUUCAGAGAGAACUUGACAAGCUGAAGCAAGAGCGGACUCGAGAGACGUGGCUCCUCAAGAACGAUCAGCGCAAUCUCGAGGAACAACUCAAGGAACAAAAGAAGGCGCACCAAGAUGACGUCGAGAGGCUGCAGAAGGUCAUCGCCGACACCAAAGAACAGUUCGCCGGCAGCCUUUAGCAGAUCAAG